UUUUUCUUUUGUUCUCCACCGUGUGCUUCCGUUUGGCACGCUUUUGUGUUUUCGUCUUCUCAGCCGUCAUUUUCUCGCUUCGCAGCUGCUUGCUUCGUUCGACAACUCUGUGGUGCGUGAUUUUCUUUGGAUUUUUAUCUUCAUUUGUAGAUUUUUGUGUUAGCUUUCAAAACGGGUAUUUUUUUGUUCUGUUUGGAAAGAUCUGGACCUUAUCAUUGGACAACUCAGUGGUGCGUGAUUUUCUUUGGAUUUUUAUCUUCAUUUGUAGAUUUUUGUGUUAGUUUUGCAAAACGGGUAUUUUUUUUUGGUUGUGUUUGGAAAGAUCUGGACUUUAGCAUUUUAAACUCUGGCAGGGGUCGCCGUCUGUGGGGAGAAAGGUCUCUAUUUCAGUUUUUGAACCAUAGGAGAAAAUCCAAAAUUUAGACACAGGUUUGUCAAAAAUUGAGAAAUCAAAGAGGCUUUCGGGGGUUUUUAGAUCGUAUUUCUUAAUCACCGUGUCAUUUACUCUUAAUUGCCAACAUCAGCCAUGGCUGCUUGCCAGAGGUUUUCAGAAAGUUAGAGAGAGAGAGAGAGUUUGGGUUAUUCUGUUAUGGGGUCACGGGAAGAUGAGGGUCUAAAGUGGGAAGAGAGAGAAACCAUUGUUGUGUUUUUGUGUUUGAUUUUGCCACCGGCAGGUUGUCUUUCAAGACAACUAUUAAAUAGGUCAUGAAGAAGUUGGAUUAGUAUAGUAAAUGAACAAACAUAAUGAAUUUAAUUAUUAGUAUAAACAUAUUGUUUAUAACCCUUUUGCGAGCUGUCUGUUUUCGAUGCUCAUCUGCAUCUUCACAGUGGUAGUUAUAGUUUCCCACCUGCAGUCAUUUUGGAUUAGCGUUCAACCACGCAGUGGUGAAGAUAAUAGACACAAACAGAGUAUUCCUACACAUCGGAAUAAUGCGUCAACUCCAAACUAGCAACCAACAGACUAUCCCUAACACUCACAAAGUCACACAAGCCACCACCAGGAAAGCACCCUCCAAACCUCUACAUCAGCAUCCAAGUAAAUCCCACUCCUGCUCUGCUUCAUAAGUUCAUUGUUAUUUUCUGUAAUAUAUUCUGAUUUCUAGGAACUGUAAAUUCGCAUUUGGAAAUGAAUUUUCUGUGCAAAUUUGGAUAUUUCGAUGUUGGUUAAAAUUAGGGGAAUGACUCCGAUUUUGUUACUCAAUUAAUUUACUUUUUUGUGUAUCUCAACCUUCUAAUUGAUUUCCUGCAUCAUUGCUUAGUUUUACUCACUACUCACUGAAACUUGAGUGAAUUUUUUUACCUUAUGACCCCAUAUGUGAUUAUCAAGUCCAUGAUUGUCUUUUGAUCGGUUUUCCUUUGAAGUGAAUGCCAAACUGCAGAAGUUUUCAGCCCUUUUUGCAGCUAUGUUGUUUUUAGAUUCAACCCAAAAAAAUCUGUCCAAGAGGCGAGUAAAUUUAUUUGAUGGACCUGUUUGAUUUGUAAAAAUUAUGGGAGAGAAUAGGUAAUUGCAUCUAGACAGGUGGUUUGGUGUUUAGAAGGCUUUGAAAGCUAAUUUACAAGACUUGGAAUGCUAAUCAUGAAUUUUACGUUAUCGAUCACAGAUGCAGUAUAUUCUUGCAUAUUUGUUUAUUUUAGUUAGUAUAUGCAGAUUUAAAGAAGGAACAUUAUAUCACUAUUUAUUCAGCUGUUACAUUUCCAGUCGUAUUGAUGCCUGCAAAACAAUGUUUACUUUUCUAGGCAAUCUAUUACAAUUUCUUUCCUGCUACAUUAAAAUAGAAAUGUAAAGAAUAAAGCCAAUUUAAAAACCUAAUAUGUAUUUAUGUGCUUAAUUCUUCCCUAAGAUUUUUCGUUAUGUGAACAAAAUAGAUGCAUGCUCUGCCCAUUAUGCGAAAAAACGGUAUACAACAAUGUAACACCGCAGCAACGCGUGGGCAGGAUAGCUAGUUUGCACUAAAAAUGGACCAAAAUUUGUUAUUCCGUCGGGCCCAUCUUUUUCCCCUUAAGCUCUUUCCCAGAUAUUCAUGGACCAUAAAGACCGAGACGCAAGGAAACCUUGUUGUAGUCGAUCAUGGAAGUAGUUCUGGUACAAGUCCCAGAAUUCAUCUCUGCCAAAUAAAAUCAAUGCGAGGCAUGUGGAGUGUAUAAAGUUAAAAGAUUUUCUAUUCAAAAUAGAGCACAAAGACGAGAAAUCGAAAAGAACAUAUCAAGAUUCUUCUCUCUGAUUUUUGAACCAUCACUGCCCACUCUGGCCAGGGAACUUGGAGAAAAGGAAAAUGUGAGGGUGAAGAUUUUUCAAAGACUAUCAUUAGUUCGGUAUUAUGGAUUUCAGAUGAAUUUAUGUUUGCAAAAGAAUUUCCUGAGAAAUAAUGUAUAAACCUUAAGGAAGGUUUGCCGCUCCACCCCGUCAUAUGAAUCCCAGGGGAGACGAACCAUGAGGCGUAAAUAAAGCAGACAUUCGACCUAAACUUUCUCAACUUUUCCCCUUUACCAAAAAGACCCACAAUGAACGUGGUGAAAGUUUACAGUGACUAUAACUCGGAUGCAUAAAAUCAUACGGGGGGAUGAAAUAGAACGUAAUAUAUAUCCUCAAAAACAAAGCUGAUAGGCUAACAGAGAGAUGAAAUAGACCUGGUUACAGUCCUAAAAUAACAGGAAUAGAAAUUGUCAAAAAAAUAAAUUGGUAAUGUAACAUUAUGUUACAGGUUUCUACCAAAAGGACCCCCAAUGAACCUGGUGAAAGUUUACAGUGACUAUAACUCGGAUGCAUAAAAUCAUACGGGGGAUGAAAUAGAACGUAAUAUAUAUCCUCAAAAACAAAGCUGAUAGGCUAACAGAGAGAUGAAAUAGACCUGGUUACAGUCCUAAAAUAACAGGAAUAGAAAUUGUCAAAAAAAUAAAUUGGUAAUGUAACAUUAUGUUACAGGUUUCUACCAAAAGGACCCCCAAUGAACCUGGUGAAAGUUUACAGUGACUAUAACUCGGAUGCAUAAAAUCAUACGGGGGAUGAAAUAGAACGUAAUAUAUAUCCUCAAAAAACAAAGCUGAUAGGCUAACAGAGAGAUGAAAUAGACCUGGUUACAGUCCUAAAAUAACAGGAAUAGAAAUUGUCAAAAAAAUAAAUUGGUAAUGUAACAUUAUGUUACAGGUUUCUACCAAAAGGACCCCCAAUGAACCUGGUGAAAGUUUACAGUGACUAUAACUCGGAUGCAUAAAAUCAUACGGGGGAUGAAAUAGAACGUAAUAUAUAUCCUCAAAAACAAAGCUGAUAGGCUAACAGAGAGAUGAAAUAGACCUGGUUACAGUCCUAAAAUAACAGGAAUAGAAAUUGUCAAAAAAAUAAAUUGGUAAUGUAACAUUAUGUUACAGGUUUC